UACGUAGGAUGCAAGCGUUGUCCGGAAUUAUUGGGCGUAAAGAGCGCGCAGGCGGUUUGAGAAGUCAGAUGUGAAAGAGGCCGGCUUAACCGGCAAGGGUCAUUUGAAACUGACAGACUAGAGUACAGCAGAGGAUAGCGGAAUUCCCGGUGUAGUGGUGAAAUGCGUAGAUAUCGGGAGGAACACCAGUGGCGAAGGCGGCUAUCUGGGCUGAAACUGACGCUGAGGUGCGAAAGCUAGGGGAGCAAACGGG
rnacentral:rRNA from 1 species